UACGUAGGGGGCAAGCGUUGUCCGGAAUCAUUGGGCGUAAAGAGCGUGUAGGCGGCCCGGUAAGUCCGCUGUGAAAGUCCAGGGCUCAACCCUGGGAUGCCGGUGGAUACUGUCGGGCUCGAGUCCGGAAGAGGCGAGUGGAAUUCCUGGUGUAGCGGUGAAAUGCGCAGAUAUCAGGAGGAACACGAAUGGCGAAGGCAGCUCGCUGGGACGUGACUGACGCUGAGACGCGAAAGCGUGGGGAGCAAACAGG
rnacentral:rRNA from 1 species